AUCCAAUUACAUAGAUCGUCCUAUUUAUAGCCUAUAUGCGGAGAUAAAUGACAAGCAGCUGGCAGAGACAACCGUCAGUGUUUGUGUUCAGUUUGAAUGUUGAGAAGCUGUCACUGUAGCAGUGCAUAUCCAGCCAAUAAGAGAAAUGGCAAAGCUGUAAUCAGGAAAGAUUUCCAGGUGCUACAAAUGUGAUCGAAAAUCUGUUUUGGGAUUUUCCCGAAGCCUCAACAUUCGACAUAAGUGGUGAACCACAAACACACUGAGACACACAGUUAGAGGAGAGGAUGGUAGUGGAGUGAUGAAUGUGUGGUCUUCAUAUUCACUCUCUGUCUACCAUCAAGCACAGAGCGGACUGACAGUCUAUGUCCUGUCCUGACAAAGACCGCAGACGACAGUCGCUGCCUCUGAUAGACUUGGUCCUGCUGAGGGGAGACCACUGUCAGCCAUGUCUGGUCAUCCACUGUCUGCUCCACAACAGGUUCUGCGGUCCGGCGACAACAGUGAGUGUGCCAUGCACAUGUCCUCCACGUGUG